GAUGAACGCUGGCGGCGUGCCUAACACAUGCAAGUCGAGCGAACAGACGAUGAGCUCUCUCCUCUGCCGGUAGCGGCGGACGGGCGAGUAACACGUGGAUAACCAACCUAUAAGACGGGGAUAAUUACGGGAAACCGCAGCUAAUACCGGCUAAUAUAUCGAACCGCUUGGUUCAAUAGUGAAAGACGGCUUUGGUGUCUGUUUUAGCUGGAUCCGGGUCGGAUAAGCUAGUGGGUAAAGGAACAGCUUACCAACGCAACGAUGCGUAGCCGACCUGAGAGGGUGAACGGCCACACGGGACCUGAGAGACGGACCAGACUGCUAUGGGAGGCAGCAGUGGGGAAUAUUGCACAGUGGGCGGACGCCUGAUGCAAAAGCGCCGCGUUCGGGAUGACGGCCUUCGGGUUGUAAACCGCUGUCGCCUGUGACGAAGCGGGAGUGACGGUAAUGAGUAAAGAAGCACCGGCUAACUACGUG
rnacentral:rRNA from 1 species